UACGUAGGGUGCGAGCGUUGUCCGGAAUUACUGGGCGUAAAGAGCUCGUAGGUGGUUUGCCGCGUUGUUCGUGAAAACCUGAGGCUUAACCUUGGGCGUGCGGGCGAUACGGGCAGACUGGAGUACUGCAGGGGAGACUGGAAUUCCUGGUGUAGCGGUGGAAUGCGCAGAUAUCAGGAGGAACACCGGUGGCGAGGGCGGGUCUCUGGGCAGUAACUGACGCUGAGGAGCGAAAGCGUGGGGAGCGAACAGG
rnacentral:rRNA from 1 species